rnacentral:rRNA from 1 species
UCGAGAAGCUUCGGCAAUGGGCGAAAGCCUGACCGAGCGACGCCGCGUGAGCGAUGAAGGCCCUAUGGGUUGUAAAGCUCUGUCAGAUUGGGAAGAAAACUUCGGGGUUAAUACCCCCGAAGCUUGACGGUACCAUCAGAGGAAGCACCGGCUAACUCCGUGCCAGCAGCCGCGGUAAUACGGAGGGUGCAAGCGUUGUUCGGAUUCACUGGGUAUAAAGGGUGCGUAGGCGGCGCGAUAAGUCAGGGGUGAAAUAUGUCGGCUCAACCGACAAACUGCCUCUGAAACUGCCGCGCUUGAGGUCGGGAGAGGAAGGUGGAAUUCCAGGUGUAGCGGUGAAAUGCGUAAAUAUCUGGAGGAACACCAAUGGCGAAGGCAGCCUUCUGGCCCGAUUCUGACGCUGAGGCACGAAAGCCAGGGGAGCAAACG